rnacentral:rRNA from 1 species
GAUGAACGCUGGCGGCGUGCCUAAUACAUGCAAGUCGAGCGAACGGACGAGAAGCUUGCUUCUCUGAUGUUAGCGGCGGACGGGUGAGUAACACGUGGAUAACCUACCUAUAAGACUGGGAUAACUUCGGGAAACCGUAGCUAAUACCGGAUAAUAUUUUGAACCGCAUGGUUCAAAAGUGAAAGACGGUCUUGCUGUCACUUAUAGAUGGAUCCGCGCUGCAUUAGCUAGUUGGUAAGGUAACGGCUUACCAAGGCAACGAUGCAUAGCCGACCUGAGAGGGUGAUCGGCCACACUGGAACUGAGACACGGUCCAGACACCUACGGGAGGCAGAAAUAGGGAAACUUCCGCAAUGGGCGGAAGCCUGACGGAGCAACGCCGCGUGAGUGAUGAUGGUCUUCGGAUCGUAAAACUCUGUUAUUAGGGAAGAACAUAUGUGUAAGUAACUGUGCACAUCUUGACGGUACCUAAUCAGAAAGCCACGGCUAACUACGUG